rnacentral:rRNA from 1 species
CAAGGGCGUAUAUUAAAGUUGUUGCGGUUAAAAGCUUGUAGUUUGAUUUCUGCCGAGGACGACCGGUCCACCCUCUGGGUGAGCAUCUGGCUCGGUCUGGGCAUCUUCUUGGAGAACGUAGCUGCACUUGACUGUGUGGUGAAGUAUCCAGGACUUUUACUUUGAGGAAAUUAGAGUGUUUCAACCAGAUACACACCCUGAAUACAUUACCAUGGAAUAAUAAGAUAGGACUUCGGUUCUAUUUUGUUGGUUUCUAGAGCUGAGGUAAUGAUUAAUAGGAUAGUUGGGACAUUCGUAUUUAACGGUCAGAGGUGAAAUUCUUGGAUUUGUUAAAGACAGACUACUGCGAAAGCAUUUGCCAAGGAUGUUUUCCUUGAUCAAGAACGAAAGUUAGGGGAUCGAAGACGAUCAGAUACCAU